AGUGAACGCUGGCGGUAGGCCUAACACAGGCAAGUCGAACGGCAGCACAGUAAGAGCUUGCUCUUACGGGUGGCGAGUGGCGGACGGGUGAGGAAUACAUCGGAAUCUACUUUUUCGUGGGGGAUAACGUAGGGAAACUUACGCUAAUACCUCAUACGACCUACGGGUGAAAGCAGGGGUUCUUCGGACCUUGCGCGAUUGAAUGAGCCGAUGUCGGAUUAGCUAGUUGGCGGGGUAAAGGCCCACCAAGGCGACGAUCCGUAGCUGGUCUGAGAGGCUGAUCAGCCACACUGGAACUAAGACACGGUCCAGACUCCUACGGGAGGCAGCGGUGGGGAAUAUUGGACCAUGGGUGCAAGCCUGAUCCAGCCAUACCGCGUGGGUGAAGAAGGCCUUCGGGUUGUAAAGCCCUUUUGUUGGGAAAGAAAAGCAGCAGGUUAAUAACCCGCUGUUCUGACGGUCCCCAAAGAAUAAGCACCGGCUAACUUCGUG
rnacentral:rRNA from 1 species